UACAGAGGUGGCAAGCGUUGUUCGGAAUUACUGGGCGUAAAGGGCGCGUAGGCGGCCAUCUAAGUCAGACGUGAAAUCCCCCGGCUUAACCUGGGAACUGCGUCUGAUACUGGACGGCUUGAGUAUGGGAGAGGGAUGUAGAAUUCCAGGUGUAGCGGUGAAAUGCGCAGAUAUCAGGAGGAAUACCAGCGGCGAAGGCGGCGCUCUGGGCCGGAACUGACGCUGAGGAGCGAAAGCGUGGGGAGCAAACAGG
rnacentral:rRNA from 1 species